UGAAAAUGGUUAGGGAUGGAUAACUUUUUCCCGUGAAAAGUGCAAAGAUCUAUACAGUACUGGUCUGCUCAGCUUGGUCAGUUCACAAAUAUUUUGUUAGAAAAUCAGCAAAGCCACCGACUUGAAUACAAGCCAUCGACUUGAAUACAUUGGUUAUUUUCCAUGUACCAACAAUAUGGAAAUAAAAUUUGUUUAUAAAUUUGAAAGGCA